rnacentral:rRNA from 1 species
AGAGUUUGAUCCUGGCUCAGGAUGAACGCUAGCUACAGGCUUAACACAUGCAAGUCGAGGGGCAGCAUGGUCUUAGCUUGCUAAGGCCGAUGGCGACCGGCGCACGGGUGAGUAACACGUAUCCAACCUGCCGUCUACUCUUGGACAGCCUUCUGAAAGGAAGAUUAAUACAAGAUGGCAUCAUGAGUCCACAUGUUCACAUGAUUAAAGGUAUUCCGGUAGACGAUGGGGAUGCGUUCCAUUAGAUAGUAGGCGGGGUAACGGCCCACCUAGUCUUCGAUGGAUAGGGGUUCUGAGAGGAAGGUCCCCCACAUUGGAACUGAGACACGGUCCAAACUCCUACGGGAGGCAGCGGUGAGGAAUAUUGGUCAAUGGGCGAGAGCCUGAACCAGCCAAGUAGCGUGAAGGAUGACUGCCCUAUGGGUUGUAAACUUCUUUUAUAAAGGAAUAAAGUCGGGUAUGGAUACCCGUUUGCAUGUACUUUAUGAAUAAGGAUCGGCUAACUCCGUGCCAGCAGCCGCGGUAAUACGGAGGAUCCGAGCGUUAUCCGGAUUUAUUGGGUUUAAAGGGAGCGUAGAUGGAUGUUUAAGUCAGUUGUGAAAGUUUGCGGCUCAACCGUAAAAUUGCAGUUGAUACUGGAUAUCUUGAGUGCAGUUGAGGCAGGCGGAAUUCGUGGUGUAGCGGUGAAAUGCUUAGAUAUCACGAAGAACUCCGAUUGCGAAGGCAGCCUGCUAAGCUGCAACUGACAUUGAGGCUCGAAAGUGUGGGUAUCAAACAGGAUUAGAUACCCUGGUAGUCCACACGGUAAACGAUGAAUACUCGCUGUUUGCGAUAUACGGCAAGCGGCCAAGCGAAAGCGUUAAGUAUUCCACCUGGGGAGUACGCCGGCAACGGUGAAACUCAAAGGAAUUGACGGGGGCCCGCACAAGCGGAGGAACAUGUGGUUUAAUUCGAUGAUACGCGAGGAACCUUACCCGGGCUUAAAUUGCAAAUGAAUUAUGGGGAAACCCAUAGGCCGUAAGGCAUUUGUGAAGGUGCUGCAUGGUUGUCGUCAGCUCGUGCCGUGAGGUGUCGGCUUAAGUGCCAUAACGAGCGCAACCCUUGUUGUCAGUUACUAACAGGUCAUGCUGAGGACUCUGACAAGACUGCCAUCGUAAGAUGUGAGGAAGGUGGGGAUGACGUCAAAUCAGCACGGCCCUUACGUCCGGGGCUACACACGUGUUACAAUGGGGGGUACAGAGGGCCGCUACCACGCGAGUGGAUGCCAAUCCCAAAAACCUUUCUCAGUUCGGAUCGAAGUCUGCAACCCGACUUCGUGAAGCUGGAUUCGCUAGUAAUCGCGCAUCAGCCAUGGCGCGGUGAAUACGUUCCCGGGCCUUGCACACACCGCCCGUCA